UGGUCUCCAGGCAGUGUGCAAAGAGACACCUUGUUGGUGGUGUUGUUUUUAUAUCAGUCAGGGCCAGAGAAGAUGGUGGUCCUUUGCUUACUCUGGCAUGGUGACUGGCUUGGUGGCCAAAGCUGUUUUAUACUUAGGACAUGUAA